rnacentral:rRNA from 1 species
UACGUAGGGUGCAAGCGUUGUCCGGAAUUAUUGGGCGUAAAGAGCUCGUAGGCGGUCUGUCGCGUCUGCUGUGAAAACUCAGGGCUUAACCCUGAGCUUGCAGUGGGUACGGGCAGACUAGAGUGCGGUAGGGGAGACUGGAAUUCCUGGUGUAGCGGUGAAAUGCGCAGAUAUCAGGAGGAACACCCGUGGCGAAGGCGGUUCUCUGGGACGGUACUGACGCUGAGACGCGAAAGCGUGGGGAGCGAACAGG